rnacentral:rRNA from 1 species
GAUGAACGCUGGCGGCGUGCUUAACACAUGCAAGUCGAACGGAAAGGCCGAAGCUUGCUUCGGUACUCGAGUGGCGGACGGGUGAGUAACACGUGGGUGAUCUGCCCUGUACUUCGGGAUAAGCUUGGGAAACUGGGUCUAAUACCGGAUAUGACGAUCUCUUGGAUGGGGUUGUGGAAAGCUUUUGCGGUAUGGGAUGAGCUCGCGGCCUAUCAGCUUGUUGGUGGGGUAAUGGCCUACCAAGGCGUCGACGGGUAGCCGGCCUGAGAGGGUGUACGGCCACAUUGGGACUGAGAUACGGCCCAGACUCCUACGGGAGGCAGCAGUGGGGAAUAUUGCACAAUGGGCGCAAGCCUGAUGCAGCGACGCCGCGUGGGGGAUGACGGCCUUCGGGUUGUAAACUCCUUUCGCAAUCGACGAAGCCUUUUGGUGACGGUAGGUUGAGAAGAAGCACCGGCUAACUACGUG